AAAUCGCACAAGCCUGAGAAAACCAGCACCGUUGCCUGCGUUUGAGACGACCACAACCACCUGAGACGGGCACCACCACCAGAGCACUAGGUACCCACCACUAAACCCUAAAUCUGCUCGAUUUGCAUCCGGAGGUUUUAUCUAGGGUUAGUGUUGAAACAAUGGCAGGGAAUUGGGACCAUACCUCUUCAGUUAGAGAAGAAGUCGUCGGAAUCUGGUCGCUGGAGGGUGGUGGGUUUUUGUCUGAAGCAGAGAAGCACAGUUCUUGCCGGCAUUUCUUCGAACAGUUGGUGAAGGUUUAGUGUUGUAGGAGUGAAAUGACUUCAACUAGUAGUUCUAGUAAAUCGUUUAAGGCGUUUCGUCGAAUGGUUUUAGGGUUUGGGGGUGAUCACACUCAGGUACAUUCUGAGGAGAUGAAGAAUGAGCCGUAAUCGUUAAAGAAGGCCUGAAGUAAUAUGAUUCUGAUACUAUUAUUAAGUCAACAGUCAUGGUAGGUUGCACAUAUUUUUUCUUAGAACUCUUUUGUAAGUUAGAUUUUAUGAUACAGUGAAGAACAUAUUAGCAAAAUAAUAAACAUUUCAGGUAAGUUUGUUUUG
rnacentral:lncRNA from 1 species